UACGAAGGGAGCGAGCGUUGUUCGGAAUCACUGGGCUUAAAGCGUGCGUAGGUGGAUAUGUAAGUCAGAAGUGAAAUCCCGGGGCUUAACCCCGGAACUGCUUUUGAGACUGCAUGUCUGGAAUUCGGUAGAGGUUAGUGGAAUAUCCAGUGUAGAGGUGAAAUUCGCAGAUAUUGGAUGGAACACCAGUGGCGAAGGCGACUAACUGGACCGACAUUGACACUGAUGCGCGAAAGCGUGGGGAGCAAACAGG
rnacentral:rRNA from 1 species